UACGGGGGGGGCAAGCGUUGUUCGGAAUUACUGGGCGUAAAGGGCGCGUAGGCGGCACGGCAAGUCGGGAGUGAAAGCCCGGGGCUCAACCCCGGAGGGUCUUCCGAAACUGCCGAGCUAGAGUGCGGAAGAGGCAAUCGGAAUUCCCAGUGUAGCGGUGAAAUGCGUAGAUAUUGGGAAGAACACCGGAGGCGAAGGCGGGUUGCUGGGCCGACACUGACGCUGAGGCGCGAAAGCCAGGGGAGCGAACGGG
rnacentral:rRNA from 1 species